AGCCCCCCGCAUGAGGAGGGGAAGCAGCAUCCCCACAUGGCGGUCGCCAGUCAGCUUAGUAGCGCCAGAAUCCUGCUGGGGAAUCACGGAGACAUGGCUGCAGAAACUGGCAGAACGGCCCCAGGGCCAGCCCUGGUGAGCGACUCCUUCCCAGUAACUCAGUCUGGGAACAUUGGCCCAGCCCCUUUCUGCCAAAGGGUCUUGAAAAUGUUACUAAUCAGCGGCCUUGCUUGGGGAUGCAGAGACCUUACAGCUCUGAUCGCUUCCUCCACCACUAAUGGAGCCUUCUUUGGGGCACAACGCAGCCUGGGCCGCGUGACUGUUUAGGACAGAAAGCGGAGAAUAAACUACCCAGUUAAAAGUUUGCGGGACUAUCGCUGUGUGUUGUGGAGCCAACAGGAGGCCCCCUUCUCAGCUGCUAUGUAAUACAAAUAAUAAUCAGAAACAUUUUGUUCUUCUUCAGCUCCGUCCGUCUCCAGAUCUCCCCGCGCUUGGCAAGAAGGAAUGCCAACAGCCCCGUGGACCUGGCAAGGAGAUUCCCAAGGCCAGAUCCUCACCUGGCAUCGAGCUGCGUAUGGAGUCGGUAGAGAACGCUCCUGCAAAGGACUCUGCGGUGGGCAUGAAGUGGAGCAGAACGAAAGCUUUUCCCGUCCCCGUCGGUGUUUCUGAGCCACGCUGGGGAGGGCAGCCCCCCGUUGUCACAGCCCGGUUUCAAGCUCGGUAACUAAACCAGCCGAAGACUUGGGGAGACGAGACUUCCACAGCUCAGCAGGGAAGCGGGGACCCCAGGCCAGGGACGGGCUGGACUGAUGGACUCCCCAACAGCAGCACCAAUGGAGCCCGGAAAUGCUGGGUGACUCCUGGAGAGUGGGGGAAGCUGACGGGUAGAUCCAGCGAUUCUUAUCACCCAUUGAAAUACCUUGAUCUCGGGGGAAGAGACUGAGCAAGGGGAACCCUGGAUCAACCGUCUCUUGCCCAUUUGCUAUUUUCUAGAUCUGUUAUUCUCCUUAGCAGUCGUGAUUUGUGGUGCCCGGUAGCCUCAUUCGUGGACCAGCACCCCGUUGCCCUAAGGGCUGUACAAACACACAACAAAACUAUUGUCCGUCCUCAAAGAUUUUCUAAUCUAAGUGAUAUCCUGUCCCUUUGUGUCCGUCUCCUCUCUGAGGGAAACAGCCCCUGUUCUUUUAUGUGAAGCAGACGCCAGAUGCAGAGAGGAUUUUCCAAAUGCUGGGCAGACAGAUGACUCGGUAGCAUCCUGGGUCUCCAAAAUCCCACACCUGGGGGCUGCUAGCUCAGGCAGAGACGGCCAGGUAAAGAGAUUGCUUGCAGCUUUUUCAGACCACCUAGUGGUGGGCCCCUCUCCUUGGAAACGUUAGUAACCUGCACAUCUACCAAUGUGAUAUAUGCCAUCAUGUGCCAGCAAUGCCCCUCUGCCAUGUACAUUGGCCAAACCGGACAGGCUCUACGCAAAAGAACAAAUGGACACAAAUCGGACGUCAAGAA